UAGCCGUAAACGAUACUCGCUAGGUGUCGGCCACGGUGCGACCGUUGUCGGUGCCGUAGGGAAGCCGUGAAGCGAGCCACCUGGGGAGUACGGCCGCAAGGCUGAAACUUAAAGGAAUUGGCGGGGGAGCACAACAACGGGUGGAGCUUGCGGUUUAAUUGGAUUCAACGCCGGAAAUCUUACCGGGACCGACAGCAACAUGAAGGCCAAGCUGAAGACUUUGCCGGAUUAGCUGAGAGGAGGUACAUGGCGUAGUCGUGU
rnacentral:rRNA from 1 species